rnacentral:rRNA from 1 species
AUGUGGAGGAACACCAGUGGCGAAGGCGACUCUCUGGUCUGUAACUGACGCUGAGGAGCGAAAGCGUGGGGAGCGAACAGGAUUAGAUACCCUGGUAGUCCACGCCGUAAACGAUGAGUGCUAAGUGUUAGGGGGUUUCCGCCCCUUAGUGCUGCAGCUAACGCAUUAAGCACUCCGCCUGGGGAGUACGGUCGCAAGACUGAAACUCAAAGGAAUUGACGGGGGCCCGCACAAGCGGUGGAGCAUGUGGUUUAAUUUGAAGCAACGCGAAGAACCUUACCAGGUCUUGACAUCCUCUGACAAUCCUAGAGAUAGGACGUCCCCUUCGGGGGCAGAGUGACAGGUGGUGCAUGGUUGUCGUCAGCUCGUGUCGUGAGAUGUUGGGUUAAGUCCCGCAACGAGCGCAACCCUUGAUCUUAGUUGCCAGCAUUCAGUUGGGCACUCUAAGGUGACUGCCGGUGACAAACCGGAGGAAGGUGGGGAUGACGUCAAAUCAUCAUGCCCCUUAUGACCUGGGCUACACACGUGCUACAAUGGACAGAACAAAGGGCAGCGAAACCGCGAGGUUAAGCCAAUCCCACAAAUCUGUUCUCAGUUCGGAUCGCAGUCUGCAACUCGACUGCGUGAAGCUGGAAUCGCUAGUAAUCGCGGAUCAGCAUGCCGCGGUGAAUACGUUCCCGGGCCUUGUACACACCGCCCGUCACACCACGAGAGUUUGUAACACCCGAAGUCGGUGAGGUAACCUG